GUCCAACAGGUUUAUUUGAAAUCACAAGCUUUCGAAGCGCAGCUCCGACUACAGUGUAAUUUUUGACUUUGCUAUAUUGAGAUGAGCGGAUCACAAGCGCACUUUCUGAUCUUGCAAAACUCCCCAAGUACGCAAAAUGAAGUCAAAGAUCUUCAGCAUCCACAGUCCUUUUAUUAAACUAAAAGGUAAAGUCGCCAUAGUCCCAGAGGGCUGCUCGCUCAUUACAGAGAGCUUAACUUGAAGGUCACCAUACCUCCGGUGAGAUAUCCCCCAUAAAAGGAAACAUCAUCUCCUAUCAAGUCACCUCAGGAUCUUCAGCAUCCUAUGUUUGGAAUAAAGACACAAAGGAAAAUUUCACAGAUGAGCUGAGAAAAACAGGCGCAAUGAUAUGGACGAUUAAGUGGCCAUUCUACUUAAUUAAAACUAUAUCAAUUAAAGAAACACUGAAUGAUCCAUUCUGUAUUUUGGAUUAUAUUCACAAAUUCUUCAAGAUUCACCAGUGCUAGACCAGACAAGG